rnacentral:ncRNA from 1 species
CGAGAAGUCCCUUCCUUUGUUUGAGUCUCUGUUUUCUUCUUCCUCGCCUAGGCGAGCUUUUCCGUUGGUCAUUGGCUCGAGGCAAGGGUGGCGAAGGGUUCGAGUGCGAGCACACCUGUUGGGACCCAAAAGAUGGUGAACUAUGCCUGAGCAGGGCGAAGCCAGAGGAAACUCUGGUGGAGGCUCGUAGCGAUACUGACGUGCAAAUCGUUUGUCUGACUUGGGUAUAGGGGCGAAAGACUAAUCGAACCAUCUAGUAGCUGGUUUCCUCCGAAGUUUCCCUCAGGAUAGCU